rnacentral:rRNA from 1 species
AGUGGCGGACGGGUGAGUAACACGUGGGAACGUGCCUUUAGGUUCGGAAUAAGCCCGGGAAACUGGGCCUAAUACCGGAUGUGCCCUUCGGGGGAAAGAUUUAUCGCCUUUAGAGCGGCCCGCGUCUGAUUAGCUAGUUGGUGGUGUAAUGGACCACCAAGGCGACGAUCAGUAGCUGGUCUGAGAGGAUGAUCAGCCACAUUGGGACUGAGACACGGCCCAAACUCCUACGGGAGGCAGCAGUGGGGAAUCUUGCGCAAUGGGCGAAAGCCUGACGCAGCCAUGCCGCGUGAAUGAUGAAGGUCUUAGGAUUGUAAAAUUCUUUCACCGGGGACGAUAAUGACGGUACCCGGAGAAGAAGCCCCGGCUAACUUCGUGCCAGCAGCCGCGGUAAUACGAAGGGGGCUAGCGUUGCUCGGAAUUACUGGGCGUAAAGGGAGCGUAGGCGGACAUUUAAGUCAGGGGUGAAAUCCCGGGGCUCAACCUCGGAACUGCCUUUGAUACUGGGUGUCUUGAGUGUGAUAGAGGUAUGUGGAACUCCGAGUGUAGAGGUGAAAUUCGUAGAUAUUCGGAAGAACACCAGUGGCGAAGGCGACAUACUGGAUCAUUACUGACGCUGAGGCUCGAAAGCGUGGGGAGCAAACAGGAUUAGAUACCCUGGUAGUCCACGCCGUAAACGAUGAUUGCUAGUUGUCGGGG